AUGUACCGGUUCCCGUAUGAUUAUCAAAGUUAAGCAAUGUCGAGCUUGGUCAGUACUUAGAUGAGUGACCACUUGGGAAUACCAAGUGUUGUAAU